AGAGUUUGAUCCUGGCUCAGGACGAACGCUGGCGGUGUGCUUCACACAUGCAAGUCGAACGGAGUAGCAAUACUCAGUGGCGGACGGGUGAGUAACACGUGGGAAUCUACCAUUAGGUGGGGAAUAACAGGCCGAAAGGACUGCUAAUGCCGCAUAUGUAGGCAUCUCGACAGAGAUGUUUAUGAAAGGAGUAAUCCGCCUUUUGAUGAGCCCGCGUCCGAUUAGCUAGUUGGUAGGGUAAAAGCCUACCAAGGCGACGAUCGGUGGGUGGUCUGAGAGGAUGAUCACCCACAAUGGGACUGAGACACGGCCCAUACUCCUACGGGAGGCAGCAGUGGGGAAUUUUACGCAAUGGGGGAAACCCUGACGUAGCGACACCGCGUGAGCGAAGAAGCCCUUUGGGGUGUAAAGCUCUGUCAACAGGAACGAAACAAAUGACGGUACCUGUGGAGGAAGCAUCGGCUAACUACGUGCCAGCAGCCGCGGUAAGACGUAGGAUGCAAGCGUUGUCCGGAUUUAUUGGGCGUAAAGAGUUCGUAGGCGGUUUGUUAAGUCUGAUGUUAAAGACCGGGGCUCAACCUCGGAAAUGCAUUGGAUACUGGCAGACUGGAGUGCAGUAGAGGCUAGUGGAAUUCCCAGUGUAGCGGUGAAAUGCGUAGA
rnacentral:rRNA from 1 species